AAAGUCGUAACAAGGUUUCCGUAGGUGAACCUGCGGAAGGAUCAUUAUCAAACGUAUCCACGUAUAAACCAAUUUUAUUAAUGUGAAACAAUGUAACCUUUGAUGGAUCAGAUGAUUGCUGUAUUACUCUUGCACCCUUGAUUAAAGCAGGAGAGUAGUAUGGACCUGGAUUAGGCGUAACAGCUUAGUUCUAGCUCUGAUUUAUUGAAGUGUAAUUAAUACUUAAUUUAAUCAAAUUAUUAACCCAUUGAACCGAUUAACUAUUUUUAUUAAUAGUUGGUCAUUAAAAUUCUAUUGUGUGAACUGAAUUGUCUCUUACUCUUUGAAAGUCUGUAACAGGACUGAUAGGAGAAGCGAUUAUUUUACGAAACAUUAUAAAUUUCUAUGAACAACUCUUAGCAACGGAUAUCUUGGUUCUC
rnacentral:misc_RNA from 1 species